UACGUAGGGGGCGAGCGUUGUCCGGAUUUAUUGGGCGUAAAGAGCUCGUAGGCGGCUUGGCAAGUCGGGUGUGAAACCUCCAGGCUCAACCUGGAGACGCCACUCGAUACUGCUAUGGCUAGAGUCCGGUAGGGGACCACGGAAUUCCUGGUGUAGCGGUGAAAUGCGUAGAUAUCAAGAGGAACACCAGUGGCGAAGGCGAGUCCCUGGACAACACCUGACACUGAGGCACGAAAGCUAGGGGAGCAAACAGG
rnacentral:rRNA from 1 species